rfam:Tupaia chinensis contig82717, whole genome shotgun sequence.
GGAUGUGAGGGCCAUCUGGAGAUCUGCGACAUCUGUCACCCCAUUGAUCGCCAGGGUUGAUUCGGCUGAUCUGGCUAGCUAAGCGGGUGUCCCCUUCCUCCCUCACUGCUCCAUGUGCAUCCCUCCCGAAGCUGCGUGCUCGGUUGAAGAGGAUGACCUUCCCUGAUAGAGGAGGACCAUUCUUCAGUCAAGGGUAUACCAUAACUGCGCUCCCCUGCUAGAAUCUCCAAACAAGCUUUCAAAGCAUUUAACUUUGUUUCAUGGAAUCUACCUUUUCUUCACACAGUCAUAUUUCGUACGUGUUGUGUUCAAAUAAAU